rnacentral:rRNA from 1 species
CAUGUCUAAGUAUAAGCACUUUAUACUGUGAAACUGCGAAUGGCUCAUUAAAUCAGUUAUCGUUUAUUUGAUAGUACCUUACUACAUGGAUACCUGUGGUAAUUCUAGAGCUAAUACAUGCUGAAAACCCCAACUUCGGAAGGGGUGUAUUUAUUAGAUAAAAAACCAAUGCCCUUCGGGGCUCCUUGGUGAAUCAUAAUAACUUAACGAAUCGCAUGGCCUUGCGCCGGCGAUGGUUCAUUCAAAUUUCUGCCCUAUCAACUUUCGAUGGUAGGAUAGUGGCCUACCAUGGUGGCAACGGGUAACGGGGAAUUAGGGUUCGAUUCCGGAGAGGGAGCCUGAGAAACGGCUACCACAUCCAAGGAAGGCAGCAGGCGCGCAAAUUACCCAAUCCCGACACGGGGAGGUAGUGACAAUAAAUACUGAUACGGGGCUCUUUUGGGUCUCGUAAUUGGAAUGAGUACAAUCUAAAUCCCUUAACGAGGAACAAUUGGAGGGCAAGUCUGGUGCCAGCAGCCGCGGUAAUUCCAGCUCCAAUAGCGUAUAUUAAAGUUGUUGCAGUUAAAAAGCUCGUAGUUGAACCUUGGGUCUGGCUGACCGGUCCGCCUCACCGCGAGUACUGGUCCGGCUGGACCUUUCCUUCUGGGGAACCCCAUGGCCUUCACUGGCCGUGGGUGGGAACCAGGACUUUUACUGUGAAAAAAUUAGAGUGUUCAAAGCAGGCCUUUGCUCGAAUACAUUAGCAUGGAAUAAUAGAAUAGGACGUGCGGUUCUAUUUUGUUGGUUUCUAGGACCGCCGUAAUGAUUAAUAGGGAUAGUCGGGGGCGUCAGUAUUCCAGCUGUCAGAGGUGAAAUUCUUGGAUUUGCUGAAGACUAACUACUGCGAAAAGCAUUCGCCCAAGGAUGUUUUCAUUAAUCAGGGAACGAAAGUUAGGGGAUCGAAGACGAUCAGAUACCGUCGUAGUCUUAACCAUAAACUAUGCCGACUAGGGAUCGGGCGGUGUUUCUAUUAUGACCCGCUCGGCACCUUACGAGAAAUCAAAGUUUUUGGGUUCUGGGG